CUUUCUAUGCAUAUUACUUGGAAUCGGGCAGCAACAGUAACACAACGGAGGACACUUCUGAGCAAGCAAACCUUGAUGCCAUCUUUGUUCCUCCCCCUGAGUUUCAGAGCUCACCUCUGGAGGUUCACUCUGAGGAAAAAGGAGACAACUCUUCUGAACCUCAAGUCAACCUAUUCCAGACCCUAAGCCACCAGCGCCACCCCUUCCAGACAUCAACACAACAAGCCAACAGUCUUUUUCACAAUGUCACCUUGAACUCACCGGCUCAAGAGCAGAACGUCUCCAAAGGUGAAGUGGAGGAUAUUUUCCGUUCUGCUAAAGAGAAGGCUCCUUAUCAUGCUGCAAGUUCUACAGAGGUGAACCUCUUUGAAAAGUCUCUGAAUGUUUUUGUGGACCCAUUUGAACCUCCUUUAAAGAAGGAGGAUGAUCUCUUCCAGGCUCCAAAAUCUUCUGCUGCAAACCCUUUUUAUACUUCCACCAUGGACAAAGACAUGGAUUUGUUUCACGCAGGUCCAAAUAAAAGUGAAGAACCCUCCCCCUUCAUCAAAUUAGACACCAGAGAGGAGUCCAGUUUGGAUGUUUUUUCAUCGUCCUCAGUGGAUCCAUUCCCAAGCCCAAUUACAAGGACUUUAUUCCAAGACGUCUCCAGUUUGGAGGACCCAUUUGCUCCCUCUCCUCCUACACAGGUUAAUCCUUUCAUGUAUGGAUCAACAGGGACUCUUGACAUUUCUAAACCACUUCCACCCACACGCUCAACCACACCGCUCAAAAGCCCAUCAGAAAAGGUGGCGAUGCUUUCGUCACCCAAGAGACCACCAUUGGUAUCUCCUCCUCCCAUCCCACCAAAACCUUCCGUCAGGCCACAACAGAUCAUCCUAACAACUCCUCAGGGGACCAAACACGAUAUUAAUCAGCCGACUCCCCUCAGCCAGAGCAGGACUCUGUCCGGUUCGCCCAGCCAGUCUCCAGCAGAAAUGACUCAUGUUCAGACUUUCAAACGACCACCACGGCCACUUCCACGGACUAGACCACCAAAAACUGUAAAAACACCCGAGCCAGAACAGCCGCAAAAACCAGAAAGGCCACCACUGCCAGUAACCCCUAUUCAGCCAGAGCAAAGUGUCACAAAAACGUCUCCAAAACUCUUCAGAUCCCUGCCAAAGCCAGUUAUUCAGAGGAAACCUAAAUCUCCGGUAAGGUUUAAUUAGCUGGUUUGCUUUAGCUCUUAAAAAAAAAAAAAAAGUAAAACAUUCACCUGUUCUUCAAUGUGCAUGU
rnacentral:lncRNA from 1 species